rnacentral:snRNA from 1 species
AGAUCUUCUUGAGUGUACAGUAUCUGUUCUUAUCAGUUUAGUAUCUGAUACGUUCUGUCUUUAAGAACAAUAUAUUAAAUGGGUUUUUGGAAAUAGGAGAUGGAAUAGGAGCUUGUCCUGUCACUUCCACACACUGAUCUGGUAUCAUGACUUCAGGACUGGUGUAUCCCAU